rnacentral:tRNA from 1 species
GCGGGUGUGAUGUAAUGGUAGCCUGUCAGUCUUCCAAACUGAUCGCGCGGGUUCGAUUCCCGCCACCCGCU